rnacentral:rRNA from 1 species
GUUGCCCCUAGUACGAGAGGACCGGGGUGAACGUUCCACUGGUGGACCAGUUGUCGUGCCAACGGCAGUGCUGGGUAGCUAUGAACGGACAGGAUAACCGCUGAAGGCAUCUAAGCGGGAAGCCCCCUUCAAAACAAGAUCUCCCUUGAGAGCCGUGGAAGACCACCACGUCGAUAGGCCAGAGAUGUAAGUGCGGUAACGCAUUCAGUUGACUGGUACUAAUUGCUCGAUAGGCUUGAUUUG